CUGAGUGCGGGCCCCUCGCGGGUCCAACCUCCCACCCGUGUCUCUUGAAUACCCUGUUGCUUUGGCGGGCCUACCGGGGAACUCCCGGUUGCCGGGGGGCACUGCGCCCCCGGGCCCGCGCCCGCCAGAGCGCCUAUGAACCCUAAUGAAGAUGGACCGUCUGAGUGUGAGAUACAAUGAUCA
rnacentral:misc_RNA from 1 species